GACGAACGCUGGCGGCGUGCUUAACACAUGCAAGUCGAACGAAAAGAGGGAAAGAGCUUGCUCUUUCCGGAAUUGAGUGGCAAACGGGUGAGUAACACGUAAACAACCUGCCUUCAGGAUGGGGACAACAGACGGAAACGACUGCUAAUACCGAAUAAGUUCCAAGAGCCGCAUGGCCCAUGGAAGAAAAGGUGGCCUCUACCUGUAAGCUAUCGCCUGAAGAGGGGUUUGCGUCUGAUUAGCUGGUUGGAGGGGUAACGGCCCACCAAGGCGACGAUCAGGAGCCGGGCUGAGAGGAUGAACGGCCACACUGGAACUGAGACACGGUCCAGACUCCUACGGGAGGCAGCAGUGGGGAAUCUUCCGCAAUGGGCGAAAGCCUGACGGAGCAACGCCGCGUGAGUGAUGACGGCCUUCGGGCUGUAAAACUCUGUGAUCCGGGACGAAAAGGCAGAGUGCGAAGAACAAACUGCAUUGACGGUACCGGAAAAGCAAGCCACGGCUAACUACGUG
rnacentral:rRNA from 1 species